rnacentral:rRNA from 1 species
UACGUAGGCAGCAAGCGUUGUUCGGAAUUACUGGGCGUAAAGAGUGUGUAGGCGGUGCUCUAAGUUCGGUGUGAAAUCUCCCGGCUCAACUGGGAGGGUGCGCCGGAAACUGGGGUGCUGGAGCGCGGGAGAGGAAAGCGGAAUUCCAGGUGUAGCGGUGAAAUGCGUAGAUAUCUGGAGGAACACCGGUGGCGAAGGCGGCAUUCUGGACCGACAUUGACGCUGGAGGAAGCGGAAAGCCAGGGGAGCAAACGGG